rnacentral:rRNA from 1 species
AUAGAGGGGGAUAACCACUGGAAACGGUGGCUAAUACCGCAUAACGUCGCAACACCAAAGAGGGGGACCUUCGGGCCUCUCACUAUCGGAUGAACCCAUAUGAUAUUAUCUAGUACGCGGGGUAGUGCCCCCCCUACGCCACUAUCCCUAUCUGGUCAGAGAAGAUGACCACCCACUCUGGAUCUGACACACGGUCCACACUCCUACGGGAGGCAGCAGUGGGGAAUAUUGCACUGUGGGCGCACGCCUGAUGCACCCAUGCCGCGUGUAUGAAAAACGUCUUCGGUUUGUAAAGUAUUUUCAGCGGGGAAGAACGAGACGGGGUUAAUAACCGUCUCUAUUGACUUUACCCGCAAAAAAAGCACCGUCUAACUCCGUGCCAGCACCCGCUGUUAUACAGAGGGUGCAAGCGUUUAUCAGAUUUACUGCGUGUAAAGCACACGCGCGCUCUCUGUUAUCUCAUAUGUGAUAUCCCCGGUCUUAAUCUGGGAACUGCUUUUGAAACUGACGCGCUUGACUCUUGUAGAGGGGGAUAGAUUUCCGUGUGUAGCUGUGAAAUGCGUAGAUAUCUAGAAGAAUACCGGUGGCGAACGCGGCCCCCUGGACAAACACUGACUCUCAUGUGCGAAAGCGUGGGGAGCAAACAAGAUUAUAUACUGUGAUACUCCACGCCAUACACUAUGUCCACUUGGAUGUUGUUCCCUUGAAGAGUGGCUUCCAGAGCUAACGC